AUACGGUGAAUACGUUCCGGACCUUGUACACACCGCCCCGUCAAGCCAUGGAAGCUGGGUGUACCUAAAGUCGGUAACCGUAAGGAGCCGCCUAGGGUAAAACUAGUAACUGGGGCU
rnacentral:rRNA from 1 species